CGGGUGAGUAACGCGUGAGGAACCUGCCUCAAAGAGGGGGACAACAGUUGGAAACGACUGCUAAUACCGCAUAAGCCCACGGCUCGGCAUCGAGCAGAGGGAAAAGGAGUGAUCCGCUUUGAGAUGGCCUCGCGCCCGAUUAGCUAGUUGGUGAGGUAACGGCCCACCAAGGCGACGAUCGGUAGCCGGACUGAGAGGUUGAACGGCCACAUUGGGACUGAGACACGGCCCAG
rnacentral:rRNA from 1 species